rnacentral:rRNA from 1 species
UUUCAAGUCCGAUGCUAAAGACUGGGGCUCAACCCCAGGGGUGCGUUGGAUACUGUGAGGCUAGACGGUCGGAGGGGGUAGCGGAAUUUCCGGAGUAGCGGUGAAAUGCGCAGAUACCGGAAGGAACGCCAAUAGCGAAGGCAGCUACCUGGACGACUUGUGACGCUGAGGCGCGAAAGCGUGGGGAGCAAACCGGAUUAGAUACCCGGGUAGUCCACGCCCUAAACCAUGAGUGCUGGGUGUCCGGCUUCUGCUGGGUGCCGUAGCUAACGCGCUAAGCACUCCGCCUGGGAAGUACGCACGCAAGUGUGAAACUCAAAGGAAUUGACGGGGGCCCGCACAAGCGGUGGAGCAUGUGGUUUAAUUCGAAGCGACGCGAAGAACCUUACCAGGCCUUGACAUGCCCGGAACCCCUCUGAAAGGAGGGGGUGCCCGCAAGGGAGCCGGGACACAGGUGCUGCAUGGCCGUCGUCAGCUCGUGUCGUGAGAUGUUGGGUUAAGUCCCGCAACGAGCGCAACCCCUAUCCCUAGUUGCCAGCAGUUCGGCUGGGCACUCUAUGGAGACUGCCUGCGAAAGCAGGAGGAAGGCGGGGAUGACGUCUGGUCCGCAUGGCCCUUACGGCCUGGGCGACACACGUGCUACAAUGCCAAGGACAGAGCGCUGCUACCUCGCGAGAGGACGCCAAUCGCAAAAACCUUGGCUCAGUUCGGAUUGGAGUCUGCAACUCGACUCCAUGAAGCCGGAA